rfam:Asian citrus Psyllid, Diaphorina citri - Florida Strain, whole genome shotgun sequence.
GUCAGCGGUGAAAGCACGUUAAGUGUACUAGUUCCCGAUGGAUCACUGAAGCUAAGAUAUGUGGCGCGUGGUUAGUAUCCGAAUGGUGACAAUCUGGGCAAUCGUGGCUGCUGGCU